CGGCUCGUCGCAUCCUGGGGCUGGAGUCGGUCCCAAGGGUUGGGCUGUUCGCCCAUUAAAGCGGUACGCGAGCUGGGUUUAGAACGUCGUGAGACAGUUCGGUCCCUAUCCGCUGUGCGCGUAGGAAUAUUGAGAAGGGCUGUCCCUAGUACGAGAGGACCGGGACGGACGAACCUCUGGUGUGCCAGUUGUUCUGCCAAGGGCAUGGCUGGUUGGCUACGUUCGGAAAGGAUAACCGCUGAAAGCAUCUAAGCGGGAAGCCUGCUUCGAGAUGAGUAUUCCCACCAACUUGAUUGGUUAAGGCUCCCAGUAGACGACUGGGUUGAUAGGCCAGAUGUGGAAGCCCGGUAACGGGUGGAGCUGACUGGUACUAAUAGGCCGAGGGCUUGUCCUCAGUUG
rnacentral:rRNA from 1 species